AAUGAACGCUGGCGGCAGGCCUAACACAUGCAAGUCGAACGGCAGCACAGUGAGUGCUUGCGCUUACGGGUGUCGAGGGGGGGACGGUGCAGGAAGAUAUGGGAAUCUACUUUUUAGGGGGGGCUAACACAGGGAAACUUACGCGAAUACCGCAUAUGACGUACGUGUGAGAGCAGGGGAUCUUCGGGCCUUGUGCUAGGGUAUGAGCCUAUGUCGGAUUAGCUAGUUGGCGGGGUAAAGGGCCACCGAGGCGACAAUCCGUAGAUGGUAUGAGAGGAUGAUCAGCCACACUGGAACUGAGACACGGUCCAGACUCCUACGGAAGGCAGCAGUGGGGAAUAUUGGACAAUGGGCGCAAGCCUGAUCCAGCCAUACCGCGUGUGUGAAGAAGGCCUUAGGGUUGUAAAGCCCUUUAAGUGGGAAGGAAAGGCAGCAGGUUAAUACCCCGCUGUUAUGACGGUACCCAAAGAAUAAGCCCCGGCUAACUUCGUG
rnacentral:rRNA from 1 species